rnacentral:rRNA from 1 species
UGGGGAAUUUUGGACAAUGGGCGAAAGCCUGAUCCAGCAAUGCCGCGUGGGUGAAGAAGGUCUUCGGAUUGUAAAGCCCUUUCGACGGGGAUGAUGAUGACGGUACCCGUAGAAGAAGCCCCGGCUAACUUCGUGCCAGCAGCCGCGGUAAUACGAAGGGGGCUAGCGUUGCUCGGAAUGACUGGGCGUAAAGGGCGCGUAGGCGGCUUGCACAGUCAGGCGUGAAAUUCCUGGGCUCAACCUAGGGACUGCGCUUGAGACGUGUGGGCUUGAGUGGGGAAGAGGGUCGUGGAAUUCCCAGUGUAGAGGUGAAAUUCGUAGAUAUUGGGAAGAACACCGGUGGCGAAGGCGGCGACCUGGUCCUUGACUGACGCUGAGGCGCGAAAGCGUGGGGAGCAAAC